rnacentral:rRNA from 1 species
UCUUGCAAGUAUUCAUUUACAUUUUUAUCGUAUUGUAAUCUCUGAGCUCCAGAUUGGGACAGUUUUUACUUUAUUAUAAAAUUGAGAUGCAUUUGCUUGUUUGGUGCGUAGGGAUGUUUGAGAUAGAUUUGUGACCGCCGUUUUGAGGCCAGCUUGCUGGUACCCAAACUGUGUUAGCAUUUUUUAUCUUGGAUAUUUGAGUAUGGCUUACGGGCGUUUAUUGGUUCGAUCUGAGUGUAAGUUACGGUCGCAUGCGACACGUGCUUUUCAAUUAGUUCGGUCCAGUUAAUGCUCUCAUACUCUUUCCCUAUGUAAAAGCCGGUCAUCUAUCCGACCCGUCUUGAAACACGGACCAAGGAGUUUAUCGUGUGCGCAAGUUUUUGGGUGUUUAAAACCUAAAAGCGCAAUGAAAGUAAAUGUUCUCUUUCGAGACUGAUGUGCGAUAUUUUUUUUUCGAAAAAAUUGCAGCAUGGCCCCAUUCUAUCUGUUUACAGAAGGGUGGCGGAAGAGCGUACGCGGUGAGACCCGAAAGAUGGUGAACUAUUCCUGAGCAGGAUGAAGCCAGAGGAAACUCUGGUGGAAGUCCGAAGCGGUUCUGACGUGCAAAUCGAUCGUCUGACUUGGGUAUAGGGGCGAAAGACUAAUCGAACCAUCUAGUAG